CAGUCGCCGCGGGAAUACGUAGGGUGCGAGCGUUAAUCGGAAUUACUGGGCGUAAAGCGUGCGCAGGCGGUUUUGUAAGACAGAGGUGAAAUCCCCGGGCUCAACCUGGGAACUGCCUUUGUGACUGCAAGGCUAGAGUACGGCAGAGGGGGAUGUAAUUCCGCGUGUAGCAGUGAAAUGCGUAGAUAUGCGGAGGAACACCGAUGGCGAAGGCAAUCCCCUGGGCCUGUACUGACGCUCAUGCACGAAAGCGUGGGGAGCAAACAGGAUUAGAUACCCCCGUAGUCCCUGUCUCUUAUAA
rnacentral:rRNA from 1 species